rnacentral:rRNA from 1 species
GUGGGGAAUAUUGGGCAAUGGGCGCAAGCCUGACCCAGCCAUGCCGCGUGGGUGAAGAAGGUCUUCGGAUUGUAAAGCCCUUUCGGCGGGGACGAUGGUGACGGUACCCGCAGAAGAAGCCCCGGCUAACUUCGUGCCAGCAGCCGCGGUAAUACGAAGGGGGCUAGCGUUGCUCGGAUUUACUGGGCGUAAAGGGCGCGUAGGCGGCGGAUCAAGUCAGGCGUGAAAGUCCUGGGCUUAACCUGGGGAUUGCGCUUGAGACUGGUUUGCUUGAGGCCGAGAGAGGGUGGUGGAAUUCCCAGUGUAGAGGUGAAAUUCGUAGAGAUUGGGAAGAACACCGGUGGCGAAGGCGUCCACCUGGCUCGGUCCUGACGCUGAGGCGCGAAAGCGUGGGGAGCAAACAGGAUUAGAAACCCCUGUAGUCC